rnacentral:misc_RNA from 1 species
AGAGAGAGAGAGAGAGAAGCAACAUAUUUUCAUUAGAGUAUGUAAUAAAAAAAAGCUUUUCCAAAGCUUACGAAACAUAUGUUCACUGUGGGGAAAAAGAAAUCUAUGGGGCCGAUGUUUACGGGUACGAUGCGUAAGCCUCUGUAUUCAAUGAUUUUGUUGUAAUAAGCAAAAUUUCCAAACUUACAGGAUAAAUAUUUUAUAUCAAAUCAAUCGAAUUGAACCAUGGGCAAAACCAACUAAUAUCAAAGAAGAAUUGAUAGACUAAUUUCAUAGAGAAUUCUUGUGUGAGUUCAUUCCAGUGUUGUUAAAUUCGGCUCAAAUAUCAGUUUUCUUUUUUCAGAGCUCAAAAUAUCAGGUUAACCCUAUAAAUUAGUGACUUAAGCAUUAAAUUGACUCGAGUUUCCAAUUGAAACAAAUAAAGAAUUGAUUCGCUAAAAAUUAAAUUCAAAUCAAUUUUUUAUUAACCCAUGUGAAUCAAUCAAUUGACCAGUAGUCUUCAGAGAUAAUAUUUUUUAGAAUGCCAAUAAAGAAAUUUCAACCAAUCACCUCAAUAAACGAUCACAAUAUUAUAUAUAUUUUAAUUUCACCCAUUAAUUUAGUUCCUCAAUCUAAUCAAGAUCCAAACUGGAUCAGAUAACAACAAUAGUUGAUCUUGAAU